UGGUGCGGCUGCGCUGGUGGGGGGACAGCUCCGGCGGCACCGUGCUGCAGCCCGCCGGGCGGCCCGGACAGCCCGCGGGCAGGACCUGCGCCCGCUUCGCCGUGCGCUGCGGGCCCCGGCAGCUCGCCGCCUACCUGGCAGAUAUGGGCGUUCUUGUCCUGGAGGUUCUAACCAAACGUGACCACCUGCCCCUUGGCAGAGCUCAGAUCACUAAGCUGUCCCAGCUCUCUCCCAGCCAUCCCAUCAAAGGGUCUUUUGCCGUGCUGUCACCAACAUCGGAUAAACUCGGAGAGCUGCAGGUGUCACUGGUUCUAGAGCCUCUGCCAGAACUGUAUGGCACCAGCAGCUGUGUGCCAGCCACACAAGGAGGUUCAGAUGCUGCUGCUGCCCAGGGAAGCAGCAAGUCCCAGCUUCCUGCUCCAUCCCAGCAGCCCAGGCACACCCAGGUGGCUGUUGAACAGGACUCUGUUGACAACAGCAAAGCCACAUCUCCUAGAGGAAAGGACCAUUUGCUCUGCAGAGAGAACUCUGAGAACGUGAAGGACACCUUUCCUGCUCCUCGUUUCCGUGUGGUUUCACCGGAUGAGCGUGUGGAAAUGAGCCCAGAGAAUCAGCCCGUGUCCUUGCCCACCAGCUCCGAUCCCAGAGCUCCCGGGGGGAGCGCGCGGCUGCUCUCCGCGCACAGCCCGGCCGCAAAGGAUCUGCUCUCAGCUCUCUUGGAUCAAGGCAGUAAACUCCGUGAUGCCAUGGUCGUUUCUGCAAUGAAGUCCAGCCCAGACAUGGAGAUUGAACUGAAGAAAAUGUCUCAUUUUAUAGAGACAGACAAUUUCAUAGCACCAACAAAGAGCCCAAAAGGCUUGAAGUCCAGUUUUGUGCCCACUUCUGAAGAUCCCCAUCUCUUUGGAUCUGAAGUUUCAGGUCAGCAGUUUGACCUAAACUCUGAAGAAAGAGCAGUCCAGUUACUGUUGGGCAGUGCCGAUUUCUCCCCGGGGCACUUCUGGGAUCGGACGGGCUCCCUGUGGGAUUCUCUCUCCCUUGGCAGCGAGGUGUAUGACAGCGAACUCGGUGAUCCCCACUACGACCAGAGUCUGCUGGAGAAGCUUUUUUACACAGCUCCUAAAUCUGAUUCCAGUUUGAGCGAUUUCCUCAGCGAUGAUGAUAUUAAAUCCUCAAAAAAAGCAUCCAAGACAGAAACUCUCAAAAAAGGGGGUCCAGUGAAUCCACAGAAGGAUUUUCAUGCCUUUGAUCAGAAUGUGACAGGAGCUAAACCCAGCUGCUCUCCCACUGCUCCUCCAGAAGACCACAGAGAAAUGUCUCUUCUCACAUCCUUGGGUGCAGACAGGUUGGCAUUGCUGCAGCGAGUACACCUGGCCAGAGUCACCAUAGAAAGCCUGAAAAUCCCUCCUGAGAGCAUCCAGAUCUCCCCCAGGAGGAAAGGUUUGCUGGGGAAGCCUCCACGGCCCAUGUCUGUUCAUAAGUGCACCUUCUUUGUGGAGUACCACUUUCCUGUGAGAGUCUCCAAGGAUGAAAAAGGACAGGUCUCCAUAGCAACAGAAGCAAUUCGAGUAGCCUCAAGUAAAAUCACAGAUGGUGUGGUGAAAUUCCAGCAGCAGUCUGUGUUCCCUGUGUGGUUUGGGGGAAGGAUGAUGGAGCACUGGUGGGGCUCUGACCUGGCUUUUAAAAUCUACAUGAGAAAAAGCACACAGAAAAAGCCUGUGGCCAUUGGCUCAGCAGCACUUCAGCUCCACAGAGUGAUUGAGGCUGAGCUGCUCAGUGUCAGCUGGGAUAUACCUGUGGAAAAAGAGGGAGAUCACACACAAGUUGGGCCACUAAAGGUGUCCCUGCAGCUCGUGGCCAGCGCCGCUGCCAGGUCGGCUACGGCCGGGCACCCAGCCCCAGCUCGCGCCGUGACGGGGGCCCGGCUGGGACUGCGGGAGCCCAGCAGGACGAGUGUAAGUGCAGAAAGCCCCCUGGGCUCCGCCAGGAGCCCCGAGGCCUCGCGGGGCCCGGCAGCGGGCGGCAGGGACGUCGCGCAGCCGCCGCGCCCGGAGCCAGCCCGGGACGAGGUGACGCACGUCACCCCAGCGGAGCAGGAGGGGUUACUGCUGCACGUGCUCCUGAUGGUGCCCGAUGGAAGGGACUUCGUUGCUGAAGGCUCUGGGCUCCCCGGUUCCUGCAAUGUGUAUUUAAACUGCAAACUGCUCAGCACUGAGGAGGCGACGAGAUCCGCUGUCGUCUGGGGCACAAGACAGCCUGCCUUCAAUUUUUGUCAGGUGAUGCCCUUUUCAUUGACUUCCAAACGCUUGGAGCGGCUGAAGAACAAUGUCGUGAUUAUUGAAGCAUGGAACAAGCUGGGAAGCCCUGGCUCUGACAAAUUGCUGGGAUUAGUGAAACUCCCUCUGCAUCAGUUUUACAUCUCGUUCAAGGAUGCCAGGGUUUCCCACCUGCUCCUGCAGGCUCAGUACCCAGUGGUGGCUGUGGAUGGCCACGUGCCGGUGGUCGACGUCUUCACGGGCCGCACCCGUGGCAGCCUGCGGGUCACCCUGGCCAUGGGAUCAGCCGUCCAAAUCGUGACACUGCAGAGGCUCAAAACUGAGGAAGGAAUGGUGCCUCCAGUCACACAGCGUCCUCCCCACUCUCUGGACCAUCCAGCUGCAAAACCCACACUGUUGUACCCAAAAGGGGAGGACCUGAUGGAGCAUGUGUUUGAGAUCCACGUGGAGGGUGUGAAGGGACUCACUCCCCUCCAGUCCACGGUCUGGGGAGAGGCUGACUGCUACAUCCAGUACUAUUUCCCAGUUCAGGAGGCUGGCUGUGGUGCACUGCAGGGACCUGGACUGCAUGAGGAUGGCAUCACAUUAAAGCCAUUUAGAACAGCUACCACUUUGUGUGUCCCUGAUCCCAUCUUCAAUGACGAACAUCAUCAUUCCCUGUUGGUUCCUGCUGAUGUCCCAGUCCAGAGGCUCCUGGUCAGUGCAUUUAUGGCACCAGGAGCAGCAGGAGGAGGAAUGCAGUUUGAAGUCUGGUGCAGGUAUUAUUACCCAAAUGUCAGAGACCAGCUGGUUGCCAAAGGGGCCUUGCCUUUGUCACGGCUCUGUGCCAUGGUGACUCUGCAGCACCGUGAAGAAAUAGGCAUUCAAACUUUUAAUCUUCCCUUGGUCCCCCGGAGUGAUUCCUCUGAGGAAUUUCAUCUGCAGUCUUCAGGUUUGCUCGAUGUGAGUGUGAGGUACCAACAAUCCAUGAGAACAGCAGCUGGAAUAACUGCUCAAGCUGUUUCACUUUCUGUACAAAUACACAGGGCAGCUGGUUUGCAGGCAGCAGCCAGAGCUGUGGCACAGAAGAACCCCUCUGUGCAGCACUGUGCAGGGGUGGGGGUGAACGCCUACGUGUGCGCGCUCCCGUCCUUCCUGCCCCCGGCGCAGGCGCGCAGCACGCGGGCUGUGCCCGGCUCCUUCUGCCCAGAGUUUGGGCAUCGCAUGCAGUUCCUUUGUCAUCUCAUCACCCAGAAGAGCACGGGAGAAGCCUCUUCUCUGGGGGAGCUCUUGCAGUCUGGCAGUAUUUUUUUCUCCAUCUACCAUCAGAGCACCAAGUCAGCCACUGACAAAUUGGCUGACAGGACAUCCAGAGAUUAUCUUCUUGGGACAGUCACGAUUCCAACCAGAGACCUGCUGACAAGAAGAUCAGGAAUUUCAGGCUGGUUCCCGGUGACCGUGUCCGAGGACCCGCUGCCUCCGCGCCGCGCCAGCGCCGUGCAGGCCCCUGUGGGAGGGCUGGAGCUCUCCGUUGCCUUUGCCCGCCAGGGUGACAGGGAGCGUGUCCUGGAGGCUGCCAGGCUCCUGGGGUGGAGCAGCCAGGAGAACCUGGAGGACAGCGAGGACGGCAGCGGGGACUGGGAGCGGGGCGCCAGCCCGGUGGCUGUGACGGUCUCCGCGCCGCGGGUGUGGCUGCCGCUCCGCUGCGUGCCGCUCACGGGCCAGGCACACCUGCACAAAGGCACCUACUGCUACCUCAGGUACAAGCUGUACGACCAGGAGGCCACCUGCAUGCGGCCGAGGCGGCCAAAAGUGAGCGAGGACGCGCAGAGUGUCACGGUGAGCUUCAGGAAACCCAGCAAGGUGACUCUCAGAAGGAGCCAGGGCCUGCUCUGGUUCUUCAGAGAGGAGAAGUUAGAAAUCCAGGUGUGGUGGGCAUGUGGCAAGGAAGAUGAGGCGGAAAGACCCCUUGACACAGAUCGUCUUGUUGGAUCUGCCUACGUCGACCUGGCAGCGUUGGCAGAGAGAUCCGGGAGAACGCUGAGCGUUAGUGGCGUGUAUCCGUUGUUCCGGUGCAACGCCGCAGACCUGGCCGGAGCCGCGCUGCGCGUUCGCGUCAGCCUCGCGCCCUGCGCGCUGCCCAGAGCGCCCUGCGCCCAGGAGAGCAGCAGCACUGAGGACGAAGGCUCGGGGGAGAGCCCUGCUCUGAGCCAGCAGCUCUCUGACAAGCAGCUGGACGUUGUAGGCUCAGGGAUCGCCAGCGGCGAACCGCAGGAAGAAGACGAGAUGAUCCUGGAAAACACGGUGGCUGUCAAUAUCCUGGUGGAAAGAGCAAUGCAUCUAAGUUUAAAAGGAAGUCCCUUGACAGAGCGGGAAGUGGCAGCCCCCAGCAGCUGUGUGUCGUUUGCUGUUGCUGGAGCAGAUGCCCCAGUAACCACUCCAGUGGUGGGGAAUACAGACUCCCCAGUCUGGGACUUCCAGCAGCAGGCAAGAUUAUCCAAAGAGCUUCUCCUGGAUCCGCAGCAAACGUUGGUCUUCAAAGUGUGGCAUAAAGCAGAGUCGGAGCGAGUGAUAGGAUUUGCAUCCGUGGACCUCUCUCCUCUCCUCUCUGGCUUCCAGCUGGUGUGCGGGUGGUACAACAUCACAGACUUCAGCGGGCAGUGCCGAGGGCAGAUUAAAGUGGCCGUGUCCCCUCUCCAAAACAUAAACCAUCUCAAGGAAGAAAGGCAGGCCAGGGCCCGAAGCCAGCCGGAAAGUUCCUCUGUGAAGGUCAGCUUUCCAGCAUGUCCUAAUAAUUCUACAAACUUGUCCAAGCAGAUGUUGCAUUCCUUGUCAAAGGAAGUCAGUGUUCCUGCUCGAGAGCAUAGGAUUGGCCCCCCUGGCGCACAGACGCCCCGGCACGAGGAGCACAUGCAGAACGUGCGCCGCUUCCACGAGUCGCUGCAGCAGGCGGGCGGGAACGGGAACGCGCACCGUGCCCGGCGGGACGCGGCUGCGCCGGCCUCGCGCACCGCGCUCCUCACCGCGCUCAGAAAGAACUUGAGCGAGCUGGAUGAGGUUCAGAGAUACUUCAGUGAGAAGCUGACCAGGUCUCUUCCUGACUUCAGCACAUCCAAACCAGGCCAUGAGGAGUGGGAGAGUCACCAUCAGGGCUCCACGAGCAGAGAAGUGGAUCCCAAAGGCUGCCAUCUUUUGGAAAAAUCUAGUCAGUUGGUGUCGCAGGUCAGCAGCCUAAUCAAUGACUUGCAGACUAUAACUAAAAAUAGCAAGGAAGCUUCUGACGUGCAUCAGGAGAGCAGCAGGAAGCUGGGUGCUUUGGAGGUACCCAGCUGGAAGCAGGAAGGAGGCAGCGAAGCUCCUGGAGGCCAGCUGGAGAUGCCAGCUGGAGAUGCCAGCAUUCCCAGUGGCACGCAGCCGCCGCGCCGUGCCGGCAGACCCGUGUUUGGGAGACACUUGUUGCACCAGCUCCUAGGCCCCAUUGUCCCUGGAGAUGAGCAUCCAGAGGGUGAUGUCCAGGAAAAGGAAGGGGCUUUUGCCAUCCAGCCACACAGUGAAGAGGAAUAUGAAGAAGAUGUUAUAGAGCCACGGACUCUAAAUGAAAUAACAGCCAUGACAGACAGGACGAGCCCCUGGUCCAGCGUGAUCUCCGAAACAGGGCAGGGGGCUGAGCUGCAGCCCCGGGACCCGAGGGCAGAGGAUCAGCACUCCAUGGAUGUGGGCUGUUUCCAAAGAGGGAACAGCAGCACCUUGUCCAGCAUGCUGCAGGGGGACAGCCAGAGCGUGCUCAGCGCCCUGAGCCCACCCGUGAGCCCCCACCUGGCUGGGAACAGCCCCUGGGGAGCAGCAGGAGACUGCCAGACCCUCCCCAGCAGCACGGGAACAGCAGCAGGAGACUGCCAGACCCUCCCCAGCAGCACGGGAACAGCGGAGAGGGAGCUGCUUCUGCCAGCUGAGCCGAGCCUCUGGAGCACAGCACUGAGCACUGAACCCAUACAGAAAAGUGUGGAGUUCCCUGCAGGCUCCAAGGAGCUGCUGCCAUCCUCAGGAGACAUGGGUUUGACCAAUCAAAAAGCCACUGAGAGAGGGGAGGAGGAAGAUGCUGAGGUAAAUGGAGAUCAUCAAGGCAAGGAAGGAAGUGGCUCUGAUGAGAACUGUCUUCAGAGUGUAUCUGCCCAAGCUGGCUCAGAAAGAAACAGUGAGAGCUUCCCUGAUGACAGCAGUGAAGACCCAGUGGAAGGCUCAGAAAACCCCAUCAAACAAAAAAUCACUUUAUCUGGUCCUGUUGUUGUUCCCAACUUCUUCCUUCCACCCCAGGAGAUGGAGGCCUCCAUGAGACUGCUCUGCACUUCUUCCCAUCCUUCCACACCUCCAAAACCCUGUGGUUUGCCACGACAUGAAGGCAAGAGCUCUGACACCUGGUCCCUGUCUGCCCAGAGCAGGAGUGCAGCAGUGCCUGGAGGAAUCCCCUACCGAAGAGCAAACCGUCCCAGGCCCAGCCCCGAGCUCUCUGAGGAGGAGGCCAAAAGAAUCGCCAGGAUCUUCUCUGCUCAGCUCUCCAAGAAGGAAUAGUGCUGGCACAGCAGAGCUUCCUAAGCCAUGGCCGGAUGCACGGACAAAGGAGGAGCCCCCAGUAAAGGGGAGGUGGAAGCCACAGCUUUCAGGCUCUGCUUUUAGUUUGCCUAAUUGAUUUGGGUCAGCCGUGGAGCCGGGCAGGAAAACAAGGCAGGAGCCAGCUGGAGAGGGCUGUCAGUGCCAGGCAGCUUUUGUCUGGAGCCCGAGGGAUGGAGCAAAGGUGGCUCCAGGGUGUCAGGACCAAAGUCCUCCUCAAACAAGGCAAGUUCAGGCCUGAGUGUGGAGGCUCGCAGCACAUCCUGAGGCACAUCCUUUCUGCAUGUGGGGCUAAUGAGCACCAAGGGUUAAACACACUGAGUUUUUAAAAAAGGGAGGAAAAGGGGCUUUUCUUCACUCCACCUUGGCCUCCAGCCUCUUUCUCCUGAGCCCAGUCCCUCGUGGCAGCCUCAGACCCAGUGCCCGGCCACGCUCCCAAAGGUGUCAUGGGUUUGAUGGUGGAUUUCACUCCAAGGUGCUCACCCAGCCCCAGCUCCACCGGAGCUCGGGAAACACAUUCCACCAUGCAGGGGCAAUCCUGCUGGGAGCUCAGCAGCUGUCUGGGAUGGAUUGUGGCUCAUGGUCUUGUCGGGCAGAGGGAUCCAGCCUGCCCUGCACAAAGAACUCAGUGCCGCACUGUUCCCAAACCACUUGUGGAGCUUUGGGGCGAGGGUUUUCUGCAUCUCGUCCUUCCCAGAGUGGUUUUAGGGUAAAAAACUGACAUUCCUCCCCAGUCCAGUGCAGGGGGCCUGGGCAGGACGCCCCUCCCCAUGGCUGAGCCCCGGGAGGGGGGCCAAGGGCUGCAACAGCCACCU